GACAUAGGGUGCAAACGUUGUUCGGAAUUACUGGGCGUAAAGCGUGUGUAGGCGGUCUUACAAGUCAGGUGUGAAAGCCCCGGGCUCAACCCGGGAAGUGCACUUGAUACUGUUUGACUUGAGUACUGGAGAGGUUGGUGGAAUUCUCGGUGUAGAGGUGAAAUGCGUAGAUAUCGGGAGGAACACCAGUGGCGAAGGCGACUACCUGGCCUGUUCUUGACGCUGAGGCGCGAAAGCUAGGGGAGCAAACGGG
rnacentral:rRNA from 1 species